rnacentral:rRNA from 1 species
CCUACGGGUGGCAGCAGUGGGGAAUAUUGGACAAUGGGCGAAAGCCUGAUCCAGCCAUGCCGCGUGUGUGAAGAAGGCCUUCGGGUUGUAAAGCACUUUCAGUGGGGAAGAAAGCCUUGGGGCUAAUACCCUCGAGGAAGGACAUCACCCACAGAAGAAGCACCGGCUAACUCCGUGCCAGCAGCCGCGGUAAUACGGAGGGUGCGAGCGUUAAUCGGAAUUACUGGGCGUAAAGCGCGCGUAGGCGGUCUGAUAAGCCGGUUGUGAAAGCCCCGGGCUCAACCUGGGAACGGCAUCCGGAACUGUCAGGCUAGAGUGCAGGAGAGGAAGGUAGAAUUCCCGGUGUAGCGGUGAAGUGCGUAGAGAUCGGGAGGAAUACCAGUGGCGAAGGCGGCCUUCUGGACUGACACUGACGCUGAGGUGCGAAAGCGUGGGUAGCAAACAGGAUUAGAUACCCCAGUAGUC